rnacentral:rRNA from 1 species
GGUUGCUGGAGGUAUCAGAAGUGCGAAUGCUGACAUAAGUAACGAUAAAGCGGGUGAAAAGCCCGCUCGCCGGAAGACCAAGGGUUCCUGUCCAACGUUAAUCGGGGCAGGGUGAGUCGACCCCUAAGGCGAGGCCGAAAGGCGUAGUCGAUGGGAAACGGGUUAAUAUUCCCGUACUUGGUGUUACUGCGAAGGGGGGACGGAGAAGGCUAUGUUGGCCGGGCGACGGUUGUCCCGGUUUAAGCGUGUAGGUGUGUGUUCCAGGUAAAUCCGGUUCACUUUAACACUGAGGCGUGACGACGAGGCACUACGGUGCUGAAGCAACAAAUGCCCUGCUUCCAGGAAAAGCCUCUAAGCAUCAGGUAACAUCAAAUCGUACCCCAAACCGACACAGGUGGUCAGGUAGAGAAUACCAAGGCGCUUGAGAGAACUCGGGUGAAGGAACUAGGCAAAAUGGUGCCGUAACUUCGGGAGAAGGCACGCUGACACGUAGGUGAAGUGAUUUACUCAUGGAGCUGAAGUCAGUCGAAGAUACCAGCUGGCUGCAACUGUUUAUUAAAAACACAGCACUGUGCAAACACGAAAGUGGACGUAUACGGUGUGACGCCUGCCCGGUGCCGGAAGGUUAAUUGAUGGGGUCAGCGCAAGCGAAGCUCCUGAUCGAAGCCCCGGUAAACGGCGGCCGUAACUAUAACGGUCCUAAGGUAGCGAAAUUCCUUGUCGGGUAAGUUCCGACCUGCACGAAUGGCGUAAUGAUGGCCAGGCUGUCUCCACCCGAGACUCAGUGAAAUUGAACUCGCUGUGAAGAUGCAGUGUACCCGCGGCAAGACGGAAAGACCCCGUGAACCUUUACUAUAGCUUGACACUGAACAUUGAGCCUUGAUGUGUAGGAUAGGUGGGAGGCUUUGAAGUGUGGACGCCAGUCUGCAUGGAGCCGACCUUGAAAUACCACCCUUUAAUGUUUGAUGUUCUAACGUGGACCCGUUACCCGGGUUGCGGACAGUGUCUGGUGGGUAGUUUGACUGGGGCGGUCUCCUCCUAAAGAGUAACGGAGGAGCACGAAGGUUGGCUAAUCCUGGUCGGACAUCAGGAGGUUAGUGCAAUGGCAUAAGCCAGCUUGACUGCGAGCGUGACGGCGCGAGCAGGUGCGAAAGCAGGUCAUAGUGAUCCGGUGGUUCUGAAUGGAAGGGCCAUCGCUCAACGGAUAAAAGGUACUCCGGGGAUAACAGGCUGAUACCGCCCAAGAGUUCAUAUCGACGGCGGUGUUUGGCACCUCGAUGUCGGCUCAUCACAUCCUGGGGCUGAAGUAGGUCCCAAGGGUAUGGCUGUUCGCCAUUUAAAGUGGUACGCGAGCUGGGUUUAGAACGUCGUGAGACAGUUCGGUCCCUAUCUGCCGUGGGCGCUGGAGAACUGAGGGGGGCUGCUCCUAGUACGAGAGGACCGGAGUGGACGCAUCACUGGUGUUCGGGUUGUCAUGCCAAUGGCACUGCCCGGUAGCUAAAUGCGGAAGAGAUAAGUGCUGAAAGCAUCUAAGCACGAAACUUGCCCCGAG